GUUUGGGCCGUCCGUGUCGCUCCUCAUCCGUACUACUAAGAUCAUUGGCGACGUCAUACAGAAUUCGGCAGUGCGCUACCAGUCCUUCCUGAGGUUGUUUCGGCCGCUGUUCCGCGGGCCCUUUGAGAUCAAGGGUUUGGACCCUCCCACCACCACCACCACCACGACCACUCGCAAGCCGACCACUACUAGGACUACCACCACCGCCACUGCAGCCCCACCCGCAGCCGACAACGAGAUCAAUCGGAGACGAUAGUUAUCUAUCCAAAAACUUUAGUUAGGCAAAUUAUACCCUAAAACCCAAAAUCACAUUCUACAAAAAUAGUAUUGUGGGUUCUAUUUUAGAAUUGUUAUUUUCUGACUUAUUAUUAUGGUGGGAUACUGCCGAAUUUUGUGCUCGUUCAAGUACUCAUGACUUGCGCAUCGAAUGAUGACGUGUAGAAAUUAAUAGUACAAAGGCUGGAUUGUGAGAACGAGAAAACAAUUUAUUGAGUUUGAAAAGAUAAUAAAUUAAAUAAUGUGACUGUUAACUUGACUGAUACUGUUACAGCCCAAAAUACAACAUUCGUUUAUUAAAAGUACACAUUCAUUCGAAACCUUACAUUACUAUAUAUGUUUGUAUAUAUUCUGUAUGUAGCCGUUGUCUCCGCGACGAAACGACGUAAUUAUUAAAGUAGGAUAUAGUACGAUAACAUAUAAAUCUUAGACUUAGUUUUUUAAUCCCGAGUACUGAUUAGGUAAAUAAAAAGUAUAAAACAAUGUAAA